rnacentral:rRNA from 1 species
UCGGGAAUUUUGGGCAAUGGGGGAAACCCUGACCCAGCAACGCCGCGUGAAGGAUGAAGUAUUUCGGUAUGUAAACUUCGAAAGAAUAGGAAGAAUAAAUGACGGUACUAUUUAUAAGGUCCGGCUAACUACGUGCCAGCAGCCGCGGUAAUACGUAGGGACCAAGCGUUGUUCGGAUUUACUGGGCGUAAAGGGCGCGUAGGCGGCAUGACAAGUCACUUGUGAAGUCUCUGGGCUUAACCCAGAACGGCCAAGUGAUACUGUCGCGCUAGAGUGCAGAAGGGGCAAUCGGAAUUCUUGGUGUAGCGGUGAAAUGCGUAGAUAUCAAGAGGAACACCUGAGGUGAAGACGGGUUGCUGGGCUGACACUGACGCUGAGGCGCGAAAGCCAGGGGAGCAAACGGGAUUAGAUACCCCCGUAGUCCCUGAGCGGGCUGGCAAGGCGCAU